GACGAACGCUGGCGGCGUGCCUAAUACAUGCAAGUCGAACGCUUCUUUCCUCCCGAGUGCUUGCACUCAAUUGGAAAGAGGAGUGGCGGACGGGUGAGUAACACGUGGGUAACCUACCCAUCAGAGGGGGAUAACACUUGGAAACAGGUGCUAAUACCGCAUAACAGUUUAUGCCGCAUGGCAUAAGAGUGAAAGGCGCUUUCGGGUGUCGCUGAUGGAUGGACCCGCGGUGCAUUAGCUAGUUGGUGAGGUAACGGCUCACCAAGGCCACGAUGCAUAGCCGACCUGAGAGGGUGAUCGGCCACACUGGGACUGAGACACGGCCCAGACUCCUACGGGAGGCAGCAGUAGGGAAUCUUCGGCAAUGGACGAAAGUCUGACCGAGCAACGCCGCGUGAGUGAAGAAGGUUUUCGGAUCGUAAAACUCUGUCGUUAGAGAAGAACAAGGACGUUAGUAACUGAACGUCCCCUGACGGUAUCUAACCAGAAAGCCACGGCUAACUACGUG
rnacentral:rRNA from 1 species